rnacentral:rRNA from 1 species
AUUGAACGCUGGCGGCAUGCUUUACACAUGCAAGUCGAACGGUAACAGGGAGCUUGCUCCGCUGACGAGUGGCGAACGGGUGAGUAAUGCGUCGGAACGUGCCGAGUAGUGGGGGAUAACGCAUCGAAAGGUGUGCUAAUACCGCAUACGUACUGAGGUAGAAAGUGGGGGACCUUCGGGCCUCACGCUAUUCGAGCGGCCGACGUCUGAUUAGCUAGUUGGUGAGGUAAAGGCUCACCAAGGCGACGAUCAGUAGCGGGUCUGAGAGGAUGAUCCGCCACACUGGGACUGGGAGACGGCCCGGACUCCUACGGGAGGCAGCAGUGGGGAAUUUUGGACAAUGGGCGCAAGCCUGAUCCAGCCAUGCCGCGUGUCUGAAGAAGGCCUUCGGGUUGUAAAGGACUUUUGUCCGGGAGCAAAUGCCUGGUGUUAAUAGCAUCGGGAGCUGAGAGUACCGGAAGAAUAAGCACCGGCUAACUACGUGCCAGCAGCCGCGGUAACAC